rnacentral:rRNA from 1 species
AUUGAACGCUGGCGGCAUGCUUUACACAUGCAAGUCGAACGGCAGCGCGGGCUUCGGCCUGGCGGCGAGUGGCGAACGGGUGAGUAAUACAUCGGAACGUGCCCAGUAGUGGGGGAUAGCUCGGCGAAAGCCGGAUUAAUACCGCAUACGACCUGAGGGUGAAAGCGGGGGAUCUUCGGACCUCGCGCUAUUGUAGCGGCCGAUGGCAGAUUAGCUAGUUGGUGGGGUAAAGGCCUACCAAGGCGACGAUCUGUAGCUGGUCUGAGAGGACGACCAGCCACACUGGGAGUGAGACACGGCCCAGACUCCUACGGGAGGCAGCAGUGGGGAAUUUUGGACAAAGGGCGAAAGCCUGAUCCAGCAAUGCCGCGUGUGUGAUGAAGGACUUCGGGUUGUAAAGCACUUUUGGCGGGAACGAAAAGGACUGUGCCAAUACCACGGUUCGAUGACGGUACCCGCAGAAUAAGCACCGGCUAACUACGUG